GCAGAUGACAGUAUGAAUGGCAUCCCCUACAGCUUUACCAUCUCAUGUACCCUGCUUGGCCCUGACAGUUGACUUCUUUUUAAAAAAAAUUUUUUAGGAGUUCCUGUCGUGGCACAGUGGUUAACGAAUCUGACUAUUACCAUGAGCGAGGCCAGGGAUUGAACCUGCAACCUCAUGAUUCCUAGUCAGAUUUGUUUCCACUGCACCACAACGAGAACUCUUGAUUUGCUUUAUCUUUGAACUUAGCACUGAUGGUGUGCUGAUUUUCUGGUGUCAGCUUUUAUCUGAUCUAGGUUAUAGGCUUUAAGGAAAUGAGAGAAAGCAAACCAGAUUAAUAUCCAGGUGAUCCUGCUUUACAUUCUCCCAGAUCUCAGCCUUUUCUGUUAUAUGAUGAAUUCUUUGAAGAGGACAUCAUCUCUUUGAGAAAGAGUCCCCUUGGCCCAGGAGCGGUGCCUCCCUAACCAGGCUGUUCCGUCUGAUCAUAGGCUCUAUUCCGUCAGUCUGAGGAGGCUCUAGCCAAGGAAGCCUUGCAGGAAGCCUUCACUAUUGCCUUGCUGCUCUAGUGAUUCUGUUAAGGAACGAGUUAAGUCUGACAGGAGAUGUCCUUGGUGGCUAUAUUAGUUUCUUAGGGUGGUUGUAGCAGAGUAUCAGAGUGGUGAUUUAACUGAAUAGAAAUGUUUUUCUCUUAUAGUUCUGGAGGCUAGAAGUCCAAAAUCAAGGUGUUCUGUAAGGCCAUACUCUCUUUGAAAGUUCUAGGGAAGAAUCCUUCCAUCCUUCUUCCCAGCUUCAGGUGCUUGUCAGCAAUCCUUGGUGUUCCUUGGCUUGUAGAUGCAUCACUGCAAUCUCUGCCUCCAUCUUCACAGGACCUUCUUCCCCGUGUGUCUCUGCAUCUCUUUUCUCUUCUUAUAAAGACAUUGGUCAUUGAAUUAAGGCCCACCCUGGUUUAGUAUGACUUUGUCUUAACUAAUUAUAUUUCUGAAGACCCUAUUUCCAAAUAAGGUCACAUAGAUGGACAUUAAUUGAGUGGGGGAGGAGGGGGCACUGUUCAACUGUAUAGCAGGCUGUCUGGGCUCCUAGUGCUCAAAUCAGCCCUGGUAUCAUUCUCCUAGAGUCUCUCCUGGGUGCCACCGCAGGUCUGUACUCUAGAAUUAGCUUCCUUUCUCUCUUUAGAAACUGGAGCUAUAGGAUGCUUGAUACUAAUCUCUUGACUUCUCUCCUGCUCUAUAGAAGUCAUUAAAGACCAUUAAAAUGGGUCUGGUCGUUCAAUGGCAAGUUCCCUUAGUGCCCCAAAUUCAUCCCAGGCAGGAAAGGUGCCUCGUUUAGGUAGCCAACUGCUGUCUUGCAUCUUCUUGGCCCACCUUGGCUUUCUGUUUAUCAACAGAUAGUUAUCGAGGGCUUUCUGUUUGCUGGGAAUGUGUUAGCCCUGUAGAUAAUGUGUGAACUGGAGUAACAAUCAACUUGUUUCUGUGGAGGUCACAGACUCUAAAGAAGUAGACAUAUAGAUACGUAAUGAAGCAGUGAUAAGCUGUGUGAAAGCAAAGAGUCCUAGGUGGGAGGAAGAUGGUGUUUUAGAUAGGGAAAGGAGGGAUUCUUUCCCUUCCCUGUGAUGGUCAAUACUUAGCAGAAGAUUGGAGUCUGGACCGUGGGAUUCACAAGCCAGUGGCUCCAGCUCCAGGCUCGGCUGUAGGGCAGCUAAACCUAUACCUCCUGACAGCCGGCUAGAGCCUCCACUCUUGUCCCAGAUGCCACCAGCAUUAACUGGUCCUGAGGCAGGACCUAUUCUGAACAUGACUCUGACCAUGAGAAUUAUCCUAGAUGAGGCUACCCGGUGCUUUUAAACCUUUUAAAGCAUAGGAGGGCAGCAUGGUGAGGAGGAAAGAGGUUGGCUUUGGGCAACAAGUUAACGUGGCUGUGUGACCUUUUACAAGUAAUUUAACUUCCCUGAGCUUCCGUCUCCCCUCUAGAAAGUGGGGAUACUGCCCCCACCAUAUAGCGCCAUGGUGAUGAUUCGGUGAAGUAAAACUGUGUCAUAUAACUCAUGUUUACAAACUACUAGCUCAAAUUCCAUGCACUUGUAAAUAAAGACCCCAUGAGACAGGCAUAGCCUAUUGACCAGAGAAGCUUCUGAAAUCUUUCAAUGGCACAGAAGGGGUGCUAAACAAAAGUUUGUGGACAGAUGGGGCAAGGGAGGCAAAGGGCUGCUUGUUUGUGGAGUGUCCAGGGGAACUAUGAGUCCUCUCCUCCCUCUGGCCUCCAAAGUAUCGUGUCCCCUGCUCCUCCUCUUCCUUAUAGAACUAUAGGGAUUCUGGGAGUCUGGAGAAGGUCUGCUUGAAUGGGUUUGGUGGUGCAGAAGCUGCCUCUGAAUAUCUUUGCCAUGCGUGGGACUCAAUCUGUUGGAAAUUACAGGGUGCAGAGAAUGACUUCGCAGAAAAUAAUUGGAUUUCCCCUAAACAAACAGGGCAGUUUUAAGUGAGAAACCAGGGCCCGGUUGAGUUUUGUCACAGGGGUUGCUCUUGAGACCUGUGUUCCCACAUGUUGACACAUGCCCACUCCUGGGGCGUUGCUGUCAUGUUCUGAUUCUUCUGAGCACUGGAGCAUGGAUUAAGCUGGGGUUGCUGAAGAUAAGAACCCUGUUCUUAGCAAAUAUUUACACCAUGUCAGAAAAUGCUCACAAGUUAGAUCUGAUAAAAGAGGCCCCUACAGCCUGCUAGCUGCCAGAAAGGGUAGGGUCCCUGGCAUUGUCACUGGUGUGGAGAGCAGUGGUAGGCAGGGGAUUGGACAUGAUGUAUAUAGACAGUCGGUGGGCUCUGCCCUUGCUCUUUGCCCUUCCCUGGGCAUCCAGGGCCCCCCUUGGGGUCCUUAGCAGGACUCAUCAUUAGGAAUCUUAGUUCAAAUCCUACUGGCCUCUUAGCAUCUUUGAGUCUCAGUUUCUGUAUCUGUAAAAUAGCAAUAAUGAUAUAAAUGUCAUGGGCUUUUGGUAGGAUUUAAUGGGACUGUGAUUUCAAAGUGCUAACUAUUGCCUUUGGAAUGGAUUAGCAAUAAGAUCCUGCUGUGUAGCGCUGGGAACUAUGUCUGGUCACUUAUGAUGGAGCAUGAUAAUGUGAGAAAAUAGAAUGUGUACUUGUAUUUUUAACUGGGUCACCAUGCUGUACAGUAGCAAAAAAAUUGUAUUGGGGCAGAGAGAUGAGCCUGGGCUGAGAGCGACAGUAUCAGUACCACCAGAGGGGUGGUGCCCAGGAGGCUCCAUCCCCUGGCCCUUCACAGGUGGACUCAUUCGCGGUUAUGAAUUGCUGAGUAGGGGCCAACAGUACAGAGGGAGAGAGGUAAUCAAUGUAUAAUUACUAAAGGCUCAGGCAGGACAGAGCCAGGAAGCUUCUGUGUCAUGUGCUGCAAAUUCAGUGCUCCCUUAGGGCUGUGCCCUUGCAUUUUCUAGGAGUUAAGUGGAUUUCUGGGCCACCUUGCAAACCUGCAAUCCGGGGUGUGGCAGGCAACCUCGGCACCCAGCAGUGAGCGACUGACUGCAGCUCAGCACAAAGUGAAACUGAGAAGGAGGACUGCUUAAUAGGGCUUAGGAGGGGGCAGCUAGGGAUGGUGUGAGGGUGCUUGGUUCCCCUCAGUCCUUUCCAUGUUUCUCCCUUCUGCUUAGGGCCUUCCAUGGGUCUCUCUCAAUUCUCCUUACAGUGAGUUUCAAAGGCAUUUCCCAUCCCUGAGCUUUCCUUCCUGUCCCCUCUGUGGAUUUCCUCUGGCCUAUGGGACUCUGGGAGAGUAUGGUGGCAGCUCUGGCUCCAUCCAUGCCCUGGGGCUGUGGAGGUAGACUUUAGAGGGGCAGCCCUGCUGGCUGGAGACUGUCUUGAUUCCAGUGGAGGUUGGCUUUGAGUGCUGAUCAGGAAGGUGAAUAUACACAGAUGGGGCCAUGAUGAGAUUCAGGCAGCAGCAGGAAAGUCUGCUCAGGGCCUCAGUGCCAGCCCUGGCUGGGGCAUAGGAGGAGGACCCCAAUAUGGGGACGGGAAGAAGUGUGAUAACGGGGAACCAGUCAGAACCUUAGGGUAGCAGCUCUCAAAUUUAAGAAUCUCUCAGAAUCCCAUGGAGAGCUUGUUAAAAUGCAGAUGUCUGCUCCCCAGUGCCUAGACUUUGUGAUUCAGUAGGUGUGGAAUGGGUGGGGCCACAGAAUUUGCAUAUCUAGCAGGAUCCCAGGGGAUGCAGGGGUUAACAGCUUGAGAACCACUGGUCUAGACCAAAGUAGAAGUAGAAGUAGGUAAAGCAUAGAGCUGUGACUGGGGGGUAAACCCAGGUACCUAGAGCUGUCCAGGGCUUUGGAUUGGUAAUGAUGCCUGCUCCAGGGACCCUUUGGAUGGGAAACUGUGGCUCCUGGAAAACCACUGAUCUCAGUCUGGAGUGGCUCAGGAAUGUGGGUGCAGCAUCAGAGACUGGGCAUGGGGGACAGAGGCGUGGAGAUGAGGUGAGGCUGGUGCUUGGUUAUUUAAUUAAGAAGGCUUUUAUCUUCCCUGAGAAAAGCCUGCAGCAUCCUGUGGAAGCUAGAGUGUUGGGCCAGCCUCUGGCCAAAGACAGGUUCUUUAAGGCAGGGUGAGGGGUCUCUGGGAAUUACUCUGUGCUUAGCAAGGUCUCAUCUCCCUCCUGGUCUGUCCACAAUAAGCCUCUCCCUAUUCAGCCCCUACUGGGAGCCAGGCUUCAGGCUGGGCCUAAAAUGCUUCCUCACAUUUCAUCCCAACUUUGAGGCUCUUUGAAGUUAUGUAACUUGCCCCAGGCCUCACAGCCUCUAGGAAGCUAGCUGGGAUUUGAACAACAUGCAUAUGCUGUUUUUACGGAUUCAGCAGUCAUUUACUCAUACCUGCUCUCCACCAGGCCCUGAACGGGGCCCAAGGAUGCCGGGGUGGAUGAACAGCCUGCCCUCUAGAAGCCUCUGGCCUCUCGGAGGUGAUGGAAACAUGAAUAUAUGUGAAUACAACAUGGUGACUACUACUUUGAGAGUUUGUUUGGAGGUUCUAGCAGGAGAGUGCAGGUACUUGUAUACCCUCGACCAAAGAACAGUCCUCCUCUAUUGGGGGUGGUCGUCCUUUUCCACCGAGCACGCACUCUCGGGAGGGGCACACAUGGGGCGGUGAGGGAGGAAGGGGACACCCGCCUAGCCAGCCAGAUCUGCCGUAUCAACCCUGGCGAUCAGUGGGGUGACAGAUGUCACAGCCAAAUCGCCCUCAUAUCCAGUGACUGAACCCAGAGUUAUGGGGACCAGUGAGGGGAUGACUAACCUUCUUAGGGUCCUAGGCUCCUUGCCACAGUCUGGCCUGGCAGGCGAGUGAGGCAAGUGCCUACAACUCUCCCGUGACGCAGCUCACUGCCCGGAACCCCUCGGUCAGAGGAUAAAGGCCUGGCUUCCUGCUUUCUGGGAGAAGAAAGGAGCCUACCAAUGGCCCUGACUGCUUUCUCUUUUCCCUUCUUUUGGUGAGUGCAUGUGUAAUAUGUCACUUCCCUUUAAAAAUGUUCUUAAUCCAGUCCAGGAAAUGAGCAGUCAUCUCAUCUGGGCUGCUCUCCUGGUAAUGAUAUGCACCAACUUUUCCAAAGCCUCAGCCUGCUCUUUUCUUCCCGGGAGUGGGGUGGGUGGGGGGAUGAACUGUAGUGGUACAAGGCCACUGCACCCUUUUUCUAAGGAGGCCAAAGAGAUCUAAGUCUUAGAAAUUUCCAGGCUUGAGGAAUCUUUGUGUGGCCAGACCUCAGUGAUGAUUGAUCUCUGGCCCUGGUGAAUCCAGCGGUGGAAGGCAAGGUGCAUCGCCAAGGCAGUAAUCCUGAAGCCAUCUUGUCCCCUUUCCCCAGAUUGGGCUGAAGGUACACUUGGUUCUCUGACAGACUCUGUUGCAUAAGAAAAAAAAAAUCAUCUUUGGCCCACAUAUAAAUAGACGGCAACUUUAUUUAGUUUACUUUUCCUCAGAGAGAAAUAUAUAGUGUUGAGCUGACCCAUUUAAAAAAGUUUAUUACUCUUUAUAUAAAUAAAAAGAAUUUGUUGCAAAGCAUUUGAAAAAGAUUUUUGGUAUCUUUCCUUUUAGGCUUAAAAAAAAAUCCUGUAUGGAGUUUUGUUUUUAUGUCUGUAGCUGGAUCACGCACUAAAAUGUGACUGCUUCAGAGAAAUGUUCCCUUAUCCACCAGGAAAGGUUAAAUUCAACCAACUUAGAUCCUCACUAUAUACUAUUCAUUCUCUCCACGGCACUUAUCACAAUUAAUAAUAAUGCUUUCUAUCUUUAGCCAACUAUUUGCUUAUUUGUCUGACUUCUGCAGACCUUCAGUCUUCAAGAUGGCAGCCACUAGCCACAUGUGGCUAUUUAAAUUUAAGCAAAAUUAGGGAGUUCUCGCCAUGGCUCAGUGGUUAGCAAAUCCGACUAGGAACCAUGAGGUUGUGGGUUCGAUCCCUGGCCUUGCUCAGUGAGUUAAGGAUCCAGCGUUGCCGUGAGCUGUGGUGUAGGUUACAGACAAGGCUCGGAUCCCAUGUUGCUGUGGCUCUGGCGUAGGCUGGCAGCUACAGCUCUGAUUUGACCCCUAGCCUGGGAACCUCCAUAUGCUGCAGGAAUGGCCCAAGAAAUGGCAAGAGGACAAAAAAAAAAUAAUAAUUAAAAAAAUAAAUUUAAGUAAAAUUAAGAAUUUGUGUUCCCAUUGUGGCUCAGCGGCACAAACCUGACUAGUAUCUGUGAGGAUGAGGUUUGAUCCCUGCCCUUGCUCAGUGGGUUAAGGAGUUGGCAUUGCCGUGAGCUAUGGUGUAGGUCACAGACACAGCUCAGAUAUGGCAUUGCUGUGGCUGAGGCAUAAGCCUGCAGCUGAAGCUCUGAUUCAACCCCUAGCCUAGAAACAUCCAUAUGCCUCUGGUGUGGCCCUAAAAAGCAAAAACAAACAAAAAGAAUUUGUGAAUCACUGUGUUGUAUACCUGUUACAGAAUAUUGAACAUCCAUCAUAUCUCAGUAAAAAAGUUAAAAA
rnacentral:lncRNA from 1 species